AGCACGCGACAUCACCCACACAGCAGGUGUCACAUGGCGGAUGUUACACAGCAAUAAUAAUGUGUGCAUCGUUGUUGCAAUACAGACAAUUAAUCGGCUGAACAUCAGCUAUUCAAGUUUGUCGCGUGUGAGUCAGCUGCAUUUGCUUUCAGAGAAAAAAUAUUCCAUUCGUGAUUCGAGCGGCCCGAGUCGAAUCAUUCGCGAACCGAGAGCUUUUCUAGCGUCGACUCGCGAUCAACGCAGCGCGUGCACAGAGAUUGCAAUCUUCGAAGGAAAGGACGGGCAGCCUUGAGAUUCCAACAUAACAUUCAAGUUCGUAUGCAAAUAAUGCCAAACUAUCAAGACUCUGUCGGGCACAGAAGACUGAUAGUAUUUGACGUGAUUAGCAUAACUGACAAAUAGUAACGAAGACGGCAACGAGUCUUACUUCACAAAGUGAGAAGAAAGAGCGCGGAAAGGGCGAGAAAGGCCCCCGAGCUACCAGAGAGAAUGCCGGGGCCUGACGAUAUCGGGAAGCCUCGAGAUAUUCCAGCCGGAUGUUAUUCCGUAUUCCAGCGUUCCCUGCCCACUCUGUUUCCCUGUCGUCGCGGACAGACGCGGCUUUCCGAGCCUGACUUUGCCCAUUUUGCAUCCGGAGAUUGUUAUCGCGAUUCACUCUGACGCACGAUUUAUGCGCCGAUGCAUCGAUACGUAGCGCAUCAAGUGGAAGAGGCCCGCGCGAUUGGCCGUGGGAAGCCAUCCUUUAUCCAUGACUCUGCCAGAGCUUCCUCGAAAAUUUAUAUGGAUCUACCAUCGAUCUUUCGCGCAAAGAUACGCCGUGACCAAGAUUCGGAGAAUUACUUUUAACGAACCGGACAAUCAGCCUAUUAAAUGAAUAAUCAGUACGGAAUAUCAAGCACGAUUGCAAAUUUAAGCGAAUGCAUUUACAAAGUCAGAUAACGCGACGCGAAAUGGAAAAUUCCAAAUUAAUAAUGCAAACGAGAACGCAAUAAAAUGAGUUACUUACAGCGAGAGAUACAAGAUCUGAAAGGACCAGAUUGGUAGAAAAAUUCAUGACGCGUAGGCGUGAAUUUAUUCGUAGCGUUAACAUUUGUCUGUUGUGAGAAAUUUUGCGACUGACUGGGAUAUCAGUACAACGCUGACUUCAGCGUAUGUUCUCGCACGUGAAUCGCGCAUGUUUGUCGGUAAUUUAAUACGAAUAAGCUUCUCGCGUCCGCGACGCGCCGGUUUGCCGUCGCAAAUACACAAUUUCGUAUGCAAAGCGUAACCUAUUUGCGAAUUUAUUGCCGAUAAUCUCCGGCCACGACUUUCGAGAAGAAACUUUUAGAAUGUAUAGAAGCGUUAUAUAAGGAUUAAUGCACGGACGAAUUUCGGAGAUUGAAGAAAUUUUUAUUGCGCUCCGUACAAAACUCGUUAACUUGUAUAUUUUAUUAUCAUUAGGAACAUCCGAUUUCACAUUAAGUCUUGUCAAGAAUAACCACCAAUUCUACGGUCUGUACAUAUAUGUAUGUAUCAAUUUAUAAAAAUUGCAUUAAGAUCUUUUUCUCUCAAAUAUUAAUAGUAAUAUUAUGCAAAGCACACGAUACAUUAGACCGAUAAAUAUAAACGUCUCUGUAAUUCUAAAUUUCAUUGCCGAAUAAAUGUUACAUGGCUGUCAUUAAAAAUGUAUCGCAGCUUUUAGAAGCAUAAACUUGGAAACCUGAAGUCGUACACGCGCACUCCGAAGCUUCAAUCGGCAUCGCAAACGUCCGUCGCAGCGAAUUUAUUCCGCGUUCAAACGCGUCGCCUCGCGAGCCCGUACGUGUUACGUUCGAGAUCGGGAGAUAGUUAUGCAGAUAGAAACGCUGCCGCGUGCGCCCGGUCGGGGCGCUUGCGUUUACGCUUGAGGUCGCUGCGUUCCGUUCUGAUUAUUAUCCGCAACCUUAGACAGACCGUGGCAUCGGUGUACCGAAUGCGUUCCAUCGCACAUGUGCGAAAUGUAUUUGCAUUAAACUGCCGUUUUAAACAGUUAUGACCGUCGCCUUGCGAACGAACGAGAAACC